CAGUCGCCACGGUAAUACAGAGGGUGCGAGCGUUAAUCGGAUUUACUGGGCGUAAAGCGUGCGUAGGCGGCUAAUUGAGUCGGAUGUGAAAUCCCCGAGCUUAACUUGGGAAUUGCAUUCGAUACUGGUUAGCUAGAGUGUGGGAGAGGAUGGUAGAAUUCCAGGUGUAGCGGUGAAAUGCGUAGAGAUCUGGAGGAAUACCGAUGGCGAAGGCAGCCAUCUGCCUAACACUGACGCUGAGGUACGAAAGCAUGGGGAGCAAACAGGAUUAGAUACCCGCGUAGUCCCUGUCUCUUAUACA
rnacentral:rRNA from 1 species